AAUACGGAGGGUGCAAACGUUGCUCGGAAUCAUUGGGCGUAAAGCGCACGUAGGCGGUCCCUUAAGUCGGGUGUGAAAGCCCUCGGCUUAACCGAGGAAGUGCAUUCGAAACUGAGGGACUUGAAUACUGGAGAGGAUGGCGGAAUUCCCGGUGUAGAGGUGAAAUUCGUAGAUAUCGGGAGGAACACCAGCGGCGAAGGCGGCCAUCUGGACAGAUAUUGACGCUGAGGUGCGAAAGCGUGGGGAGCAAACAG
rnacentral:rRNA from 1 species